GACGAACGCUGGCGGCGUGCUUAACACAUGCAAGUCGAACGAUGAACUUGGAGCUUGCUCUGGGGGAUUAGUGGCGAACGGGUGAGUAACACGUGAGUAACCUGCCCUGGACUCUGGGAUAACUUCGAGAAAUCGGAGCUAAUACCGGAUAGGACCUUGCACCGCAUGGUGUGGGGUGGAAAGUUUUUCGGUUUGGGAUGGACUCGCGGCCUAUCAGCUUGUUGGUGAGGUAAUGGCUCACCAAGGCGUCGACGGGUAGCCGGCCUGAGAGGGUGACCGGCCACACUGGGACUGAGACACGGCCCAGAAUCCUGCGGGAGGCAGCAGUGGGGAAUAUUGCACAAUGGGCGAAAGCCUGAUGCAGCAACGCCGCGUGCGGGAUGACGGCCUUCGGGUUGUAAACCGCUUUUAGUAGGGAAGAAGCCUUCGGGUGACGGUACCUGCAGAAAAAGGACCGGCUAACUACGUGCCAGCCGCCGCAGUAAAAC
rnacentral:rRNA from 1 species